UAGGGAAUCUUCCACAAUGGACGCAAGUCUGAUGGAGCAACGCCGCGUGAGUGAAGAAGGUUUUCGGAUCGUAAAGCUCUGUUGUUGGUGAAGAAGGAUAGAGGCAGUAACUGGUCUUUAUUUGACGGUAAUCAACCAGAAAGUCACGGCUAACUACGUGCCAGCAGCCGCGGUAAUACGUAGGUGGCAAGCGUUGUCCGGAUUUAUUGGGCGUAAAGCGAGCGCAGGCGGAAUGAUAAGUCUGAUGUGAAAGCCCACGGCUCAACCGUGGAACUGCAUCGGAAACUGUCAUUCUUGAGUGCAGAAGAGGAGAGUGGAACUCCAUGUGUAGCGGUGGAAUGCGUAGAUAUAUGGAAGAACACCAGUGGCGAAGGCGGCUCUCUGGUCUGCAACUGACGCUGAGGCUCGAAAGCAUGGGUAGCGAACAGGAUUAGAUACCCUGGUAGUCCAUGCCGUAAACGAUGAGCGCUAGGUGUUGGGG
rnacentral:rRNA from 1 species